rnacentral:rRNA from 1 species
CGCCCGUCACACCACGAGAGUUUGUAACACCCGAAGUCGGUGAGGUAACCUUUUGGAGCCAGCCGCCUAAGGUGGGAUAGAUGAUUGGGGUGAAGUCGUAACAAGGUAGCCGUAUCGGAAGGUGCGGCUGGAUCACCUCCUUUCUAAGGAAUAUUACGGA